rnacentral:sRNA from 1 species
UUUUAGCCCUGAUAGUAGUGGCAUCCUUUUUUAUGUACCGCAAUUAGCCUAAAUAAGCAAUCCUUUGGUAUACCCUAAAAUUACAGUUAAUAAGCCCAUAGCUUACCCAUAAAAAAGAUAUAACGGAUAGCAGGAAAUAGC